AUCACCACAAAAAAAAGAACAUAAGCAACAAAAAACAAAUGCCAGCAUAGAUCAAAUUAGGAGAUAGCAGAAACCUCAAACACAAGAAACUAAUUCUGAUCACAGUGUAACACGACAGCUUCAUAUGUCCUUCCUAGAGUUUGCUCAGGCCACAGCACUGAUAGGGAUGCACCACAUAGGCAGAGAGAACCAAAAUAAGUUCCCGUGGACGGCCUGGUUUUUUUUUUUUUUUUUUUGCUUGGUUUGCUUAGAGCCGAUUAUUCCUGCAGCCAUGCAGUAGAUGCACUGGAGAGAACAGACUGAAAAAACGGAGACAGAAAUCGAGGCUCGGAGCGGUGAGGGGAUGAAGCCACGCUUUCCGCAUCAGAGCUGCAAGGACUCCAGAAUCACCCCAUUCAUUCUUUUUUAAAAUUUAUUUAUUCAUGAGAACAGAGAGAGAGAGAGAGAGAGAGAGAGAGAGAGAGGCAGAGGGAGAAGCAGGCCCCAUGCAGGAGCCCGACGCGGGACUGGAUCCCAGGUCUAGGUCUCCGGGGUCACGCCCUGGGUCACGCCCAGGGUCCACGGCGGCGCCAACCUGCGGCGCCACCCGGGCGCCCCAUUCAUUCGGCUGCAACAAGAGUCCACGAGAUGAGUUAGGCCCGAGCUUCAGCGGCGACACAGAGGGAAUGGGGAGCAAAACGCCGAGCCACGCAUUCACGCGCCCAGACGCUCCGGGGAACGUGCAGAGGUAAACGGUGUUAACCGUCAGCACUCCUGCGUCCUGGCCGCCGCACUGCCCCGGGCGUGGAGGGCUGCCCGGAGGUGGUGGGGUCCCCGGGCGCUGAGCGCGGGCCCGAGAGGGG